rnacentral:rRNA from 1 species
GAUGAACGCUGGCGGCGUGCCUAAUACAUGCAAGUCGAACGAGAUCUUCGGAUCUAGUGGCGAACGGGUGAGUAACGCGUUGGUACCUACCCUGAAGUGGGGAAUAACUGGCCGAAAGGUCGGCUAAUACCGCAUAAUACCGCAAGGUUAAAGUCGUAAGACGCUUCGGGAGGGGCCUGCGUCCCAUUAGCUAGUUGGUGAGGUAACUGCUCACCAAGGCGACGAUGGGUAGCUGGAUCGAGAGGUUGACCAGCCUCACUGGGACUGAGAUACGGCCCAGACUCCUACGGGAGGCAGCAGUAAGGAAUCUUCCACAAUGGGCGAAAGCCUGAUGGAGCAACGCCGCGUGCAGGAUGACGGUCUUCGGAUUGUAAACUGCUUUUAUAUGGGAAGAUUAUGACGGUACCAUAUGAAUAAGCACCGGCUAACUACGUGCCAGCAGCCGCAGUAA